rnacentral:tRNA from 1 species
GCCUGGCUGGCUCAGCUGGUAGAGCAUGUGACUCUUGAUCUCAAGGUGGAGUGUUCAAGCCCCACACUGGGCA